CAAUCCGCAGCCCCCUGGGUCUGUGCAGUCACCAGCCAGUCCCCUGAGAACUUUCCCCUCCAGCACCCGGGAAAAUGGGGUUUUUGCUCCUUGUCAUUGUCACUGUAGCAGCUUUGGAAGGUGUCCGGUCCCAGACGCUGGUGGAGUCCGGAGGGGGUGUGAAGAAGCCCGGAGACUCUCUCCGCCUCUCCUGCAAAGCCUCCGGCUUCACCUUCAGCAGCUACCACAUGGACUGGGUCCGACAGGCUCCCGGGAAGGGGCUGGAGUGGGUGGCUGAGAUUAACACUGGUGGAUCGAGCCAGUGGUAUUCCCCAGCUGUUCAAGGGCGAUUCACCAUCUCCAGGGAUAACGCCAAGAGUGAGCUGUAUCUGCAGAUGACCGGCCUGAAGCCCGAGGACACCGCCCGCUAUUACUGUGCGAGACACAGUGAGAGUAAAACGGUCGAUGCUGAUACCAAAACCAGAGCUGCGGGACUUCCCGCGCCGGCCGCAUGGGGGCAGCAACGACACAAGCCAAACUCUCCUGUCUGGGCCGCGGGCGGGGGAAGGGCCGUCAGGACUGAAACCUCCGACAUCACGGGUUAACUCUUUCGUGUCCUGACUCCGUCCCCCCUCCCGGUGCAUUGCGGAGCGCUGCUCGCCUCACGCAAACGGCUCUUCUCGCGGGAGUGAACGGGGGAUCUCCAGCGAGCCAAGCAACGAGCCAUUGGCCCCUUCUCCAUCCGGCUAAACCUGCCGGGGACUGUUUCCCUCUGGUCCCCGCACAGCUCCCUGGAGCCGGGCACUGCUGGGAAGGGGGUGCAGUCCCAACUCUCUCCCAGCGCCAGCGGGUCCCAGCCCCAUGGGACCCCGUGAACCGGACCCUUCCCCCCCCAGCCCGCUGCUCAGCUGAGAUUCGCCCUGACUUAUGACUAUUUAUAUUUAUUUGUUUCCUU